rnacentral:rRNA from 1 species
UACGUAGGGUGCGAGCGUUGUCCGGAAUUAUUGGGCGUAAAGAGCUUGUAGGCAGUUUGUCGCGUCUGCUGUGAAAAUCCGGGGCUCAACCCCGGACUUGCAGUGGGUACGGGCAGACUGGAGUGUGGUAGGGGAGACUGGAAUUCCUGGUGUAGCGGUGGAAUGCGCAGAUAUCAGGAGGAACACCGAUGGCGAAGGCAGGUCUCUGGGCCACUACUGACGCUGAGAAGCGAAAGCAUGGGGAGCGAACAGG